GACGAACGCUGGCGGCGUGCUUAACACAUGCAAGUCGAACGGAAAGGCCCUGCUUUUGUGGGGUGCUCGAGUGGCGCACGGGUGAGUAACACGUGAGUAACCUGCCCUUGACUUUGGGAUAACUUCAGGAAACUGGGGCUAAUACCGGAUAUGAGCUCCUGCUGCAUGUUGGGGGUUGGAAAGUUUCGGCGGUUGGGGAUGGACUCGCGGCUUAUCAGCUUGUUGGUGGGGUAGUGGCUUACCAAGGCUUUGACGGGUAGCCGGCCUGCGAGGGUGACCGGGCACAUUGGGAUUGAGAUACGGGCAGGAGGCCUACUGGAGGCAGCGGUGGGGAAUUGUGCAAGAUGGGCGGAAUCCGUGUGGAGCAAUGUCGGGUGGGGGAUGACGGCCUUCGGGUUGUAAACCGCGUUAGCCUGGGACGAAGCGUGAGUGACGGUAAUGGGUAAAGAAGCAACGGCUAACUACGUG
rnacentral:rRNA from 1 species